rnacentral:pre_miRNA from 1 species
GCUUAGGGAUGAGCAAAGAAACUAGUUUCUUGAGAUGGAAUCUACUCCUGGUGAAGAUGCUAUGAA